rnacentral:lncRNA from 1 species
UAUAACAAAGAGGCUUUAAGGAUUUAAAUAAUCUUAAUUUUCAAAUGCCUAAAUACUGGAGUCUGGAGUUAAUAUUUCAGUUUGGAGUUUGUUUUAGUUGUAUUUUUACUGAUAGAUAUGCCUUUUUGUGCGAAUAUUUCCAUCUUUGAGAAUUCAUUUCAUAUAGUUUCAAUGGAUAUAAAAUAAAAUUAAUGAUAAUUAAAAAUGUGGGUGUUGGAUUUUCAUAUGGACGUGUUUUAAUCAGUUAUGUCUGUGGAACUGCUGUAUAAGAUUUAGAUUGAAAUUGCAGAUUGACACUGAAUUUAUCAAAGAUAUCUACAUGGAAAUAAGAUGCAUUAUGCAACAAAUUUGUAUGUAUACAAGACGAUCCCCCAACAAUAUAUAUACGCAUAAAAACUUCAUCUAUUGAGGACAUUUUAAGUAUUCACUCAAAUAUAAUUAAUACAGUCAUCCAUUGUCAGAACACUUGGAAAUUAAUAUAGUAAAUUUGUGGCAGCUACAUAAUCACAAUGAUUCAUCAAAAACUUUGCAUCUCAAAGGUAAUCCAGGAAAUGCCAGCAAGUCAGCAACAAUGAAAACUGUCUUCAAUCUCGAGACAAAUCCUAGCAAAAAAAAUACGUGAAUGAAUCAACAAAAAGAUAGGAAGAAACAAAUGCAAAUAAAUUUCUCCUGUUGCUCAUUUCGUGUCAAAUUCUUGUGUGGAUUAAGGUCAAUCUGAUUUUUACCUUUUAUACAUAUUGUUGAAAUGGAGAUACCUUUUAUUUAUUAUAUAGAUCUUUUUCUAUCAUUUUUUUUACACUACAAACACUAAAAUAGCCCUGAAUUUGAAUUGUGACUGGUUUGAUUGUAACAAAUUUGACAUGUUUGCAUGAUUCAUGAAAGGAAAGAUGUUAAUAUGCCAUAACCCAUGGCAGUAGUAAGUAACCACAAUAAAUCAAUGUUGAUUACAAUAACAAAGUAAAAUACACACUCUUACCACCAAUGUAACAGCACCAAGAGCAAUCCAUCUGAUAAUUUUCCAGUGCUUAUCCAUAAAUUUAUAUAUCAUAUCAAAAUUUCCAAAUCUGUCAAUUGGAAUUUUCUGAGAUAUAUUUGUCGUAAGAUAAAACUAUCGCUUAUUCAUUCAGUGUUGACAACUAAAUGCACUAUUAUAUAAACAAGAAUAUGGAUUAUUUACACUUUUAGUCUAGCAAAAGAUUGAUUUUCUCUACAUAAUCAGAUUCAACACAGCAUCCAUCUCACCAAAGUGUAGGAAAGGUUUAGCUGAAAUAUCCUUGAAACAUAGUUAGAGCAUUUCAAAUAUGUAAUUGCAUAUUUAGUGAUCAUAAUUAUGUUAGAAUAUAGCAAAACAAAUUCUCCAAUAUUAGAGCUCUAGAAACUUACAUUCUUUAAGCUUGGUCAUCUUCAGUUGAUUUUGAAUUCAUUGAUUCUCAAAGUUCAUGAAAUUGGUUGUAAUGCUCAACAUCUUCUGUGCAAAAACCAUCCAAGUUCGGAGAAGCUUUCAACCAAUUUUGACUGCAUACUAAGACCUCAACCAUCUUAGGACUUAAGGAACUACGGAAAGGAUCAAGUAUCCUUCGUCUAGUACUAAAUGCACUUUCUGAAUCAACAGUUGAAACUUGAAUUGCCAACACAUCUUUGGCCAAAUUGGACAAGAUACCAUACUUAUUUCUGUUAACCUUCCACCAAUCUAGAACUUCAAAAUUCUUUUUCUCUAUGAUUUCACGAGCAUCCAAUAAGUAUCAUUCCACAUCAUUUUUUUAUUUCAACCGAAUCCUUCCGUGCUUGUUUUUCCAUAAAUCUACUAAGACGAGCAUCACUCCUAGAAGAAGAACAUCCUUUAUAUGUAUUGAAAGAAUUUAAAGACUCCUCAACACUUUACUACUUCCGUCAAUACUUUCAUGACCCACAUACCACUUAUAAAUAUCCAUCAAAUUGGCUUUCAAAGACUUCGUCAUGUUACUAACAACUGCCCCCAUCCAUAUAUAGAUCAUUCAAACAAUAUUCAACAUAAUCCAUUUUGUAUCACUAUCUUGGAUCAAGGAUAGUAGCAAAAAACAAUAAUUGAUUCACAUUUUCCAUUUUACCCCAAUACUUAUCAAACUUCUUUUUCAUGUUAGUCGUUAUUUCACCCAACAAAAAGUUUCCACUUAAUCUCCAUCCAUCCAAUUCGAUUACAAAUUUCAUGAAGAUAAGCAUAAGCACUAACAUGCAAUGAAGCACUAAAAGUCCAAGUCACAUUAAAGAAAUUUUGAAGAAAUUUAACAAACACAGAUGCACUUUUCCAAUCUAAACUUGACGGAGGUCCACCCCUCCUUCUACUACUGUCAUCUUCUCGAAAGUAAUGCAAAUACUGAGCAUCCUCCUCUUUUGACCUAUAGAAAGCUUUUCAAAUUUCAAUGUCUUUUCCAACAUCAAAUAGGUAGAAUUCCACCUUGUUGGAACAUUCAAAAACAUAAUAGACUUGCACUCAAUCUUCUCUUUCCUAACACACUCCUUCAAUUUUUCAUGCGUAGCACGAGAAGAUUUCAUAUAUUUGAUUGCAUUGCGAAUAUUCACAAUGGAGUCAUGUGCUUCCCACAACCUUUCACCAACAAUCAAAUUGAUAAUGUGUGCACAACAUUUCAAUUGCAAAUACAUCCCAUCUAUAACACAUCUAUCACUAUCCCAAGCAACUACAUUUCUCCUAAGCUAAGAAGUGGCUGUGUCAUUGAAGCUUGCGUUAUCAACAAUGAUUGCAAAAAAAUUUCACAAUCCCCAAUUAUGCAAACAAGUCUUAAUUAUUUUUCCAAUAGUUUCUCCCUUAUGAUUUGAAAUGACACAAAAAUUCAAAAUACACUUAUUAAGCGUCCAAUCAGAAUCAAUGUAUUGUGUUGUAAGAGACAUGUAAUUAACAUUCUGAAUAGAAGCCUAAGUAUCAAUUGUAAGGGAAACCAUUUGAUGGUGAAAAGAAAAGGCAUCUCUCAAUUUCAGUUUUUCAUCCAAAUACAAUUAAUAAAUGUCUCUAACAAGAGUCCUGCGAGAUGAAGCUUGAAAUUAAGGACAUGCUACACUACAAAAGAGCCUAAGACCACGAGCUUCAACAAACCUUAAAGGUAAUUCAUCCAAAACUAUCAUUUUAGCACACGCAACUCUACACUCUUUCUUGCUUCGACCAACAACAAUAAGAUUAUUCCCUCCACCCUCUUUGUUGUUCUCAAAUGAUAAGGUUUUCUGCUUCUUAUCCACCAAUCUACCUGGAUACUUCUUACAUUCAUUAGUCAAAUGAUUACUCAAUGUACUAGUACCACACUUCUUAGUGCCACAACCAUAAUUUACUCCACAAUAAUUACACUUACAUCUAACAUCUGGAUCAUUCUUUGAGCCUAAUAAAGUGAAGUGAUCCCAAACAUAAGAAUCUAAUCUAUUAGAUUUUCGUUUACCUAAUGUUGACGGUACACGUGGAAGAAAACCAGAUUGCAAAUCUGUGACUAUGUCAUUUGAUUGAGCUUAUGUGCCAUGUUCUUCCCGUAUAUCCAUAUCUACCAACAUAUUUGACAAAAAUUAUUAAUACACCAAAAUACAUUUAUUAAAUUACAAUUAUUAAUGCACUACAAAGAAGCAAGAAUAUUGUACUGGAGUCCAUUACUUAAAGGACAAUGCAAGUUAUUCUGACUCCAAUUUCUGCAUGUCUUCGGCUGCAUUAGUACCUGUACCAACGCGAAAAGAGAAAUUUAGUGAGAAAAGCCUAAAGUUAAUAAGUAGUGAAAAAUUCCAAGGUUUUCAAGAGGUUGGUUAUAAUGGUGUAUAUUUACAUGGUUCAGCUUCUAGUUGAUAGUUUAUUAUUUUUCCAAUAUAUUGGCUGCAGAUUAUGGCAACUUCUCCAUAAUUAAAUCUUUUUCCCUAUCCUAACUAGUCAAUAUACCCCGAAAUUUCCUUACGAGCUGUAACUUAAAGGAGUCAA